rnacentral:rRNA from 1 species
GACGAACGCUGGCGGCGUGCUUAACACAUGCAAGUCGAGCGGUAAGGCCCUUUCGGGGGUACGACGAGCGGCGAACGGGUGAGUAACACGUGGGUGACCUGCCCUCAGCUCUGGGAGUAAGCCUGGGAAACCGGGUCUAAUACCGGAUAUGACUCCAUGACGCAUGUUGUGGGGUGGAAAGCCUUGUGCGGCUGAGGAUGGGCCCGCGGCCUAUCAGCUUGUUGGUGGGGUGAUGGCCUACCAAGGCGACGACGGGUAGCCGGCCUGAGAGGGCGACCGGCCACACUGGGACUGAGACACGGCCCAGACUCCUACGGGAGGCAGCAGUGGGGAAUCUUGCGCAAUGGGCGAAAGCCUGACGCAGCGACGCCGCGUGAGGGAUGACGGCCUGUGU